rnacentral:rRNA from 1 species
GGGAAACGGCAUUGAGUGCUUGCACUCCUUGGACGUCGACCGGCGCACGGGUGAGUAACGCGUAUCCAACCUUCCCAUUACUGUGGGAUAACCUGCCGAAAGGCAGACUAAUACCGCAUAGUCUUCGAUGACGGCAUCAGAUUUGAAGUAAAGAUUUAUCGGUAAUGGAUGGGGAUGCGUCUGAUUAGCUUGUUGGCGGGGUAACGGCCCACCAAGGCGACGAUCAGUAGGGGUUCUGAGAGGAAGGUCCCCCACAUUGGAACUGAGACACGGUCCAAACUCCUACGGGAGGCAGCAGUGAGGAAUAUUGGUCAAUGGACGGAAGUCUGAACCAGCCAAGUAGCGUGCAGGAUGACGGCCCUAUGGGUUGUAAACUGCUUUUGUAUGGGGAUAAAGUUAGGGACGUGUCCCUAUUUGCAGGUACCAUACGAAUAAGGACCGGCUAAUUCCGUGCCAGCAGCCGCGGUAAUACGGAAGGUCCAGGCGUUAUCCGGAUUUAUUGGGUUUAAAGGGAGCGUAGGCUGGAGAUUAAGUGUGUUGUGAAAUGUAGACGCUCAACGUCUGACUUGCAGCGCAUACUGGUUUCCUUGAGUACGCACAACGUUGGCGGAAUUCGUCGUGUAGCGGUGAAAUGCUUAGAUAUGACGAAGAACUCCGAUUGCGAAGGCAGCUGACGGGAGCGCAACUGACGCUUAAGCUCGAAGGUGCGGGUAUCAAACAGGAUUAGAUANCCUGGAAGUCCGCACAGUAAACGAUGGAUGCCCGCUGUUGGUACCUGGUAUCAGCGGC